ACACCUCAACCCUCUAAUGUUUUUGCAUUGAAGGCGUUGGUAGUGAGCGCUGCCGGUCUUUGGGUCGGCUCGCUUUAAAAUAAUUAGCUGGAUCCAUUCUGACCUGGUUCUACUCGGCGUAAUAAGUUAUUAUCGUCGAGGACGCCUAGCCUUCUAGGCAGGCGGCCACAGUAAGGGUGUUUGAACCGCUUCCAACACGUCUUGCUCUUGUAGCAAACACUUGAACCU
rnacentral:misc_RNA from 1 species